UACGAAGGGGGCUAGCGUUGCUCGGAUUUACUGGGCGUAAAGGGCGCGUAGGCGGUCGUGACAAGUCACUUGUGAAAUCUCCGGGCUUAACUCGGAACGGUCAAGUGAUACUGUCGGACUAGAGUACAGAAGGGGCAACUGGAAUUCUCGGUGUAGCGGUGAAAUGCGUAGAUAUCGAGAGGAACACCUGCGGCGAAGGCGGGUUGCUGGGCUGAUACUGACGCUGAGGCGCGAAAGCGUGGGGAGCAAACGGG
rnacentral:rRNA from 1 species